AUUGAACGCUGGCGGCAGGCCUAACACAUGCAAGUCGAACGAAUGGCGGACGGGUGAGUAAUGUCUGGGAAACUGCCCGAUGGAGGGGGAUAACUACUGGAAACGGUAGCUAAUACCGCAUACCAUCGGAUGUGCCCAGUUGGGAUUAGCUAGUGGGUGGGGUAAAGGCUCACCUAGGCGACGAUCCCUAGCUGGUCUGAGAGGAUGACCAGCCACACUGGAACGGAGACACGGCCCAGACUCCUACGGGAGGCAGCAGUGGGGAAUCUUGCACAAUGGGCGAAAGCCUGACACAGCCAUGCCGCGUGUAUGAAGAAGGCCUUCGGGUUGUAAAGUACUUUCAGCGAGGAGGCGUUACUCACAGAAGAAGCAACGGCUAACUCCGUGCCAGCAGCCGCGGUAAUAC
rnacentral:rRNA from 1 species